AAUCCUCAAGAGAGAGCCGUAAGGCCGCCGAAGAGGCAAACCUUUGUUCAGAGGUGAAACUUUCAGGCAAAAGGACUGGGGA
rnacentral:ncRNA from 1 species